GAUGAACGCUGGCGGCGUGCUUAAUACAUGCAAGUCGAGCGAACAGAUGCGGUGCUUGUUCCUCUGACGUUAGCGGCGGACGGGUGAGUAAUAAGUGGAUAACAUACUUCUCCGUCUGGGUGAACUUCGGGAAACCGGAGUUACUAACGGAGAAUAUAUUGAAUCGCUUGGUUCAUUAGUGAAAGACGGUUUUGGUGUCAGUUAUAGAUGGAUCCGCGCCGCAUUAGCUAGUUGGUGAGGUAACGGCGUACCAAGGCAACGAUGCGUAGCCGACCUGAGAGGGUGAUCGGCGACACUGGAACUGAGGCACGGUCCAGACGACUACGGGAGGAAGCAGUAGGGAGGCAUCCGCAAUGAGCGGAAGCCUGACGGAGCAGCGCCGCGUGAGUGAUGAAGGUCUUCGGAUCGUAGAGCACUGUUAUUGGGGAAGAACAAAUGUGUAAGUGACUAUGCACGGCUUGACGGUACCUAGAUAGAAAGCCACGGCUAACUACGUG
rnacentral:rRNA from 1 species